rnacentral:lncRNA from 10 species
GACGCCGAAGUCCCGGGAAAAGGAAGGGCGCCAUUUGAUUUCACAGCAAACGGGCGGUGACACCGACUUCCCGGGAAAGGGAAAGGCGCCAUUUGAUUUCACAGAAAACGGAAACGCAGUGAUGAAGCCCAGCGCCUGGCCCUCGCCCUCCCUCCACGUCUGUCUCGGGGGCGCCCUCCCCUCGCAGGAGCCAGGGCACGCGGGCCUUCAACCGCCGAGGCCCCCGCCGCCCUUCUGGACUUUUAUCGAGGCAUGUACACUAAUACGAAAGAGAAUUUGCCAUUUACCUGUAAGAUUGAGGGUGACAACGUAAGAGGAAUGGUUUUAAGUGACGCGUCCGGCUCCUUACUCCCACUGAAGGGUGAAGGUGCCACAGGUGGACCUGGUUUGGAUUCUGAUGUGAAGAAACCGACUUCAAAACAUUUGGGCCAAUCAGGAAAAUGCGAAAACUCUGACUACAAAUUUAAUGAUAUCUAGAAUUAUUGUUAAUAGUUUAAGGUGAUAGAGGCUAUGUUCCUAAGUGAAGAAUGAAGUAGUGGCAGUUCCAUCAGAUGCUUAGAGCCAGAGACAGUCCUAAGCAAACACCUGGAAAAGAAAUCCGGUGAGAAAUUCCAAGCAAUAGGAAUUUUCUCUGAAGAUCACUUGGAAGUGCCCCAUGAGAAAAACCACUAGCUUCAAACCCCUGCCAAGCCCAGAGAAUGCCUUACACUGAAAUAGAUCAUCAUAAAAUUAAUAGCCCCUCAAACACUGCCUGGCUCAGAGUUGGCGCUUGUUAAAAUUUUGAGGAAGCAAGCAAGCAAGCACAUGGGAGGAUACCAAAACAUGGCAGUAAAAGGAGCUAAACACACAAAAGAAAAGACAGAGUUCUGCUCUUGUUGCCCAAGCUGGAGUGCAGUGGCGUGAUCUCAGCUCACCGCAACCUCCGCCUUCCAGAUUCAAGCGAUUCUCCUGCCUCAGCCUCCUGAGUAGCUGGAAUUACAGGACUCCAUCACCAUGCCCGGCUAACUUUGUAUUUUUCAGUAGAGACGGGGUUUCUCCAUGUUGAUCAGGCUGGUCUCAAACUCCCAGCCUCAGGUGAUCUGCCCACCUCGGCCUCCCAAAGUGCUGGGAUUAUAGGCAUGAGCCACCGCACAUGGCCCAACACCUAAUAUUUCUAUAAACUUUCCAUUUUAAAUGUUGGGGCUUUUUUCUUCAUUUAUUGCACAUGCUGGGAGAGGAAGGAGUCAAGCACCAGGAUAUAAAAUUGUGCUCUUCCAUGGUCAUUCAGACAGAAUCAAGAAUCCAGGUUCUAAAUGUCUUUAAGUUCAGAAUCCAGAUCAGGGUCAGAAGAGGUUGACAGCUGCUGCUAGGGGCUGGGGGCUGCAGAGACAACAGCAGACAACAGGCAUGCAGCUGACCGUGGAGGGCUCCCAUCUGGGACCUGAGGAUCCUUGGAGAUCACGUAGGGGACUGACAGCAGAGCCUCAGAGCAGACAGGGGCUGGUACUAGGAGUUGGAGGGAUGAUCACAUCUGCACAGAGAGGACCUGAAAAGGCAUUGUCCUUUUAUAUGUAUCCCAGAAUACUGUGUAGGGCCUCUCUGUAAGGAUAGGGCCAGGGUUGCUCCUUGGCCUUGAGUUGGCCUCAUGAGGAGUCCAGUACAAGCCCUGCAAACUUGUCAGCUGGAGACAUCGGUGCCAGCUCUUCUUUAUGCCCCGCUGCUUGAGACACUGGGCAAUUCCUCUAAAUAAUUCAUGAUUCUUCUUCUCAACUCUUCAAAUGCAAGAAAUUCCCAUUCUUUUAGGAAACUCUGGAUCUCCUGGUUACUCCAGGUUUUAAUUAACUGGUCUGGGCAUUUUUCUGGUUCCUCAGUUUCAUUUUCCUCCUUUACUUCCAAGCAUUUCUAAUAAUUUCAGUCUGAAGUCUCACCUUCUCCUUUCUUAUUCCUGAGUUUUUUCCCGGGAUCCUUUCCACCAGUCACAGGGCCUACUCCAGGGUCCACAGAGAACAAGCCCUCACUCAGCCCUAAUGCAAUCCAGGAGUCACAAGGUGCCGAGUGAGGAAGCGUGGGUGCUCCUCUCUGCUGCUGGCAAUCUCUCAAUAUGGGGGCUUUCACUUCCUAAAUUUUACUACUUGAAUUUAGUAUUGGUCCUUUUGAAAAUUUUCUACCUAUCUUGACUGCCUUAAGGUUAACAAAAUGUGGGGCCUGGCUUGGCUAUGCUAAGUGGUAAAUGGUAGAGACAGGGUGGAGAUGGCGGACUGAGAGAGGGGCUGGGGAAAUCCUGGACAGCGUGGCCCACCCACCAGGGGGCACCCUCAUCGUGUGGCUCCACCAGGGGGCACCCUCAUCGUGUGACUCCACCAGGGGGCCAGGGCAGCCCUCUCCAUUCCCUCUGAAUAAAGGGCACCUGCCCCUCAGCUGCUUCUAACCUAUUCCCCACUGCCUCCUCUCUUCCUGGAAGCCUGCCAUACAAAGAAAGUUCCCAGGUGCUCAGAUUUUGGUAUCAGCGAUUGCCACCUUAUGUAUGAUGAAAUGGGACAGCCCCAGCUCUUAC